ACGAACGCUGGCGGCGUGCUUAACACAUGCAAGUCGAACGGAGUUUUUGAAAGCUUGCUUUUAAAAACUUAGUGGCAAACGGGUGAGUAACGCGUAGACAACCUACCAUAAAGUUGGGGACAACAGCUCGAAAGGGCUGCUAAUACCGAAUGUUGCUGUUUCUUCGCAUGGAGGAACAGUUAAAGAUGGCCUCUACUUGUAAGCUAUCGCUUUAUGAUGGGUCUGCGUCUGAUUAGCUAGUUGGUGGGGUAACGGCUUACCAAGGCGACGAUCAGUAGCCGAUCUGAGAGGAUGACCGGCCACAUUGGGACUGAGACACGGCCCAGACUCC
rnacentral:rRNA from 1 species